GACACUAUUAAUACUUACCCACCUUAGUAAUAGUGCUACUGCCACUGGCAACAAUAAUUGCAUAAAAAAAUACACAAUACUAUGGCUACUGUAAGGUAACACAGCUGACCCUGGACCUGAUUCAAAAUCUCGCCGGCACGGAGAGAAAUCACACACAAUCUAUGGGAUUUUUUUAAGACUUUGUUAUGUAAUGGCCUCGCUGUACAGACGAGACUUCUUAGAUCAUCUCACCUGAUGCUGAACUUCUGCUAGAAAACAGCAGCAACUAAUGGAACCUCCUGUCACCAGGCUGCAAACAGGCAUGCCGCCACCUCCACCACCAACAGUCACAGGCAUGCAGCCACCUCCACCACCAGUCACAGCCAUGCAGCCACCUCCACCACCAGUCUUCAGGCAGCAACAUGAACAGUAUCCUCCCAGGCAUGAGCAGGGUUGGAUUGCCUCCGUUGAGGACCCAGAAGUUAUGCCACCACCAUUGGCAUACGACCCCUGGCAAGAUACCUGGCCUGAUGAAUAUCCUGGAUUGAGGGGGAGCCAAGUCAGCUACGAAGGGUCCAUGUCUUUACCCCCCCCCCAACACAAUAUCAGACCAGUCAUGCUUUUCCACACAGGGGAUGUCGCAAGAAAUGCAAACUGGACAGACUGAGUGGUCACACACUAGUCGUCAAUUGGACUACCAAUCCAGCCUGAGAGCUCCACCAUCCUCUUCUCUUGGGAGAGCUCCACCAUCCACUUCCCUUGGGAGAGCUCCACCAUCCUCAGAUGAGCAUAUAGCUGAAGUUGUCUCUGAGGCACCAGCAGCUGAAGUUGUCCCUGAAGCACCAGCAGAUAGAGCUGAACCUGCACCUAGAAUCACUGCUGCUCAAGAGCCUGUAGAUCCACUGUAUUCUCCCCUGGGCGAGGUUACUCCAGCGUAGCAUAGAGCUGCAGAGGGACAUGGCAGCAUCAUUAACUGCAAUUGUACAAAAUCAGUCGCAGAUGCUGAGAGUUAUUUCUGAUAUGCAGAUUGACAACAGAUGGCGGGAACAAAACCAACUCUUGGGUGUGUUGGUUGAGCACUUCACACACUAGCAGGACACUGCCUCCAGCCUAUCAUCUGUGGCCAGCACUCCAGUAGAAUCAUCUGAAUCUUCCCAAACCAGGAAAUCCACUUGUCACCUCAGCCCCCUCAUCCAAGAAGCCUAAAAUAAAAAAAUAUUCUUAAAGUUCACCAUAAA